GACGAACGCUGGCGGCGUGCUUAACACAUGCAAGUCGAGCGGAGCUGCGAACGGGUGAGUAACGCGUGAGUAACUGCCCCCCUCUCUGGGAUAACAGUUGAAAACUGCUGCUAAUACCGGAUAGUGGGGGAUGACUCCCGUCCUCUCAGCUUGUUGGUGGGGUAGUGGCCUACCAAGGCGACGACGGGCAGCCGGCCUGAGAGGGCGACCGGCCACAUUGGGCGGAGAUACGGACCAAACGCCUACGGGAGGCAGCAGUGGGGAAUAUUGCACAAUGGGGGAAACACUGAUGCAGCAACGCGCGUGCGGGAUGACGGCAUUCGGGUUGUAAACCGCUUUCAGCCAUGACGCGGUAGUGGCAGAAGAAGCACCGGCUAACUACGUGCCAGCAGCCGCGGUAAUUC
rnacentral:rRNA from 1 species